rnacentral:rRNA from 1 species
UGGAAACGACUGCUAAGACUGGAUAGGAGACAAGAAGGCAUCUUCUUGUUUUUAAAAGACCUAGCAAUAGGUAUGCUUAGGGAGGGGCUUGCGUCACAUUAGUUAGUUGGUGGGGUAAAGGCCUACCAAGACUAUGAUGUGUAGCCGGGCUGAGAGGUUGAACGGCCACAUUGGGACUGAGACACGGCCCAAACUCCUACGGGAGGCAGCAUUAGGGAAUUUUCGGCAAUGGAGGAAACUCUGACCGAGCAACGCCGCGUGAACGAUGAAGUAUUUCGGUACGUAAAGUUCUUUUAUUAAGGAAGAAUAAAUGAUGGAAAAAUCAUUCUGACGGUACCUAAUGAAUAAGCCCCGGCUAACUAUGUGCCAGCAGCCGCGGUAAUACAUAGGGGGCAAGCGUUAUCCGGAAUUAUUGGGCGUAAAGGGUGCGUAGGCGGUUAAAUAAGUUUAUGGUCUAAGUGCAAUGCUCAACAUUGUGAUGCUAUAAAAACUGUUUAGCUAGAGUAAGAUAGAGGCAAGUGGAAUUCCAUGUGUAGUGGUAAAAUGCGUAAAUAUAUGGAGGAACACCAGUAGCGAAGGCGGCUUGCUGGGUCUUUACUGACGCUGAGGCACGAAAGCGUGGGGAGCAAACAGGAUUAGAUACCCUGGUAGUCCACGCCGUAAACGAUGAGUACUAAACGUUGGGUAAAACCAGUGUUGAAGUUAACACAUUAAGUACUCCGCCUGAGUAGUACGUACGCAAGUAUGAAACUUAAAGGAAUUGACGGGACUCCGCACAAGCGGUGGAUCAUGUUGUUUAAUUCGAAAGGUACCCGAAAAACCUCACCAGGUCUUGACAUGCUUCUGCAAAGCUGUAGAAACACAGUGGAGGUUAUCAGUUGCACAGGUGGUGCAUGGUUGUCGUCAGCUCGUGUCGUGAGAUGUUGGGUUAAGUCCCGCAACGAGCGCAACCCUUAUUGUUAGUUACCAGCACGUAAUGGUGGGGACUUUAGCAAGACUGCCAGUGAUAAAUUGGAGGAAGGUGGGGACGACGUCAAAUCAUCAUGCCCCUUAUGACCUGGGCUACAAACGUGAUACAAUGGCUGUUACAAAGGGUAGCUGAAGCGCAAGUUUUUGGCGAAUCUCAAAAAAACAGUCUCAGUUCGGAUUGAAGUCUGCAACUCGACUUCAUGAAGUUGGAAUCGCUAGUAAUCGCGAAUCAGCAUGUCGCGGUGAAUACGUUCUCGGGGUUUGUACACACCGCCCGUCAAAC